rnacentral:piRNA from 1 species
UGCCUUACAUUGUUUUUGUUUUGAAGGU